rnacentral:rRNA from 1 species
GUUGUAUGGUUAAGUGAAUAAGCGUGCACGGUGGAUGCCUAGGCAAUUAGAGGCGAUGAAGGACGUGGUAAUCUGCGAUAAGUCCAGGGGAGUUGAUAACAAGCGUUAUAUCCUGGAAUUUCCGAAUGGGGCAACCCGGCACUUAGUGUCAUCGUUAUGUGAAUACAUAGCAUAGCGAAGCAAACGAGGGGAACUGAAACAUCUAAGUACCCUUAGGAAAAGAAAUCAACCGAGAUUCCGACAGUAGCGGCGAGCGAAAUCGGAACAGCCCUUAAGCUGUUUAAAAGUUAGUGGAAGGCUCUGGAAAGUGCCACGAUACAGGGUGAUAGUCCCGUACACAAAAACUUCUUUACAGUGAAAACGAGUAAGACGGGACACGAGAAAUCCUGUUUGAAUAUGGGGGGACCAUCCUCCAAGGCUAAAUACUCCUAAUUGACCGAUAGUGAACCAGUACCGUGAGGGAAAGGCGAAAAGAACCCCUGUGAGGGGAGUGAAAUAGAACCUGAAACCGUGUACGUACAAGCAGUAGGAGCGGAUUUAUUCCGUGACUGCGUACCUUUUGUAUAAUGGGUCAACGACUUAAUUUCAGUAGCAAGGUUAACCGUUUAGGGGAGCCGUAGGGAAACCGAGUCUUAACUGGGCGAAUAGUUGCUGGGAUUAGACCCGAAACUUGGUGAUCUAGCCAUGAGCAGGUUGAAGGUUGAGUAACAUCAACUGGAGGACCGAACCCACUAAUGUUGAAAAAUUAGGGGAUGACUUGUGGCUGGGGGUGAAAGGCCAAUCAAACCAAGAGAUAGCUGGUUCUCCUCGAAAGCUAUUUAGGUAGCGCCUCAUGUAUCACUGUUGGGGGUAGAGCACUGUUAAGGCUAGGGGGUCAUCCCGACUUACCAACCCUUUGCAAACUCCGAAUACCAACAAGUGCAAUCAUGGGAGACACACGGCGGGUGCUAACGUCCGUCGUGGAAAGGGAAACAACCCAGACCGCCAGCUAAGGUCCCAAAGUAUAUGUUAAGUGGGAAACGAUGUGGGAAGGCUUAGACAGCUAGGAAGUUGGCUUAGAAGCAGCCAUCUUUUAAAGAAAGCGUAAUAGCUCACUAGUCGAGUCGGCCUGCGCGGAAGAUUUAACGGGGCUAAACAUAUCACCGAAGCUGCGG